AGAAAAUGGAUUCUGUGAAUUCUAAUAAAGAUACACGCCCUCAUAUUGAGCUAAAUACUCUUUUCGAGACAGGAGCAUGAUUAACCAAUGGAUCGUUUGACAUUUCUACCGUCAGUACCAAUCUGCUCAGCAACUCCUUUUCUAACAACCAUCAUAUGGCCAUCGGUAUAUAGGACGACCUCAUAAGACCUUUCCGGACAUCCUACAAGAUCAGAAGAUACUGGAUUGCAAUCUGAUAAGGUUCGUUGGCUCAUGAGUGAUAGAGAUAAAUGGAGAGAAGCGCUGUCACGAAACUGGAAACUCGUUCCAGACUUCAUCGACCUAGGCAGGGACGUACUAAAGAGAAGAAAUUAACGAGGUCAGCGAUAUGAAGAAGACUGAAAGUAAAAAUGUGCGACUGUGCGUACUAAAUCACUCAACACUCAAAUUUUAAGAUUUUGAAAACUGUCUCGACCACUUGAUAUGACGUGGUAGCCUGUGAGCGUGUAGACCGCUCCUCUUUCAUUUUUUUGAGUAGCCGAUCCAAAACCAAAACCUGUGACCUGGGUUUACAUGAGACGUGGGAGCCUGUGAGCGUGUUAGUUUCUCAAAAAUAUGUCGGAGGAGGGGAUAGAAUAUAUGCAAAAAGAUGUCCGAAAUAUAAGGAGUUCCCGGUCUUGGCUUGGAAACUACGUCAAAAAUCUGGGCCAGACACUAGAAACAUCGAUUUUGCGUGGCGAUCUGUUCCUAAAUCACAUUGUUGAAGGAAUUCCUAGAGCAAGUACUAAGGAGGGACGAUAUAAUAACGGCAAACGAAAAAAGAUCAAGUCUCUAUAUCCAGCCGACAUUAUAAGUUCCUCGGAGUUAGGCGGGCUAAAUUUCUUGAAAAAAGUCAUUAUAGGAUUUACAGAAAUCAGCGAUGGAGAAGACUGAAAGUAAAGAUGUACAUUGUACGUGCUAUGUCAUUCAACACUCGAAUUUUAACAUUUUUAAAACUGUCUCGACCACUUGAUAUGAUAUUCUAAGAAUCUGAUAUUUCAUUGCAUGCUUUAGUUAGGAGUCUUCUUUCUCGGAGUAUGUAGCUGAUAUCUUAAAACAUAGAUAUCAGCUACAGA